AGCCGGCGCGUCACCAGCUAAGUGACUAAUAUGGCGGCGUCCUGUGUUUAUUUUUCAGGCUGGUCGUCAACCAACUUGAAUUUUGAAAUGAUUAAAUGAACCGCAGUGUAGCACAUAUGUUCAUGUUAGCCUGUGCACAACUUAUGCUAAUAAUUCGAAGACCGAUUUGAGCAUUUUGCAAGGUUUGUCAGCAUCAAUACGAUGGCAGUAGCAGUGUGUGAGCCCCCGUCAGACAGGGUGAGGUCUCUAGCCCAUCUAGGCUCGGCCGUGGAGGUAGAUCACAAUGUACCAGUCAUUAGGUACUUCAGAUCUGGCAAAGAAAUGAUGAGAAUGGCUGAUGUCUACUACGAGGAACAUAAUUAUGAAAAUGCCUUCAUCUUGUACUCCAAAUUCAUCACCAUUUUUGUGGAGAAGUUACCGAAGCAUCCUCAGUACAAACAGUCCAGACCAGAAGAUAUUAAAGAGACCAAAAGGAAAGUCAAGCAAGCUUUUCCAAGAGCAGAGGACACUAAAGCAAAACUUAAGCAGAAAUUUGAAAAGGAAUUUAGGAUAUGGGAGGAAAGAGAGACACAAAGACUUUUGGAAGAGGAAAAGCUGCGCAAGGAACAGGAGAAAUGGGAUGAACAGCGAAGACGGAAACAUGAAGAAGAAGAAGAGGAGAGGAGACAACUCCAAGAGGCCAAGGAGCGAUCGUUGAGGGAGGAACAACAACGAGAAUUAGAGGAACAAAGACGAGCAAUUCUUGAAGAGCAGCAACGAGCGCAACAGAGAGAGGAGGAAGAGAAACGAGCGCUGGCUGCAUCAGCAGCAGCUGCAGCAGCAGCAGCAGCAGCAGCACAAGCAGCGGGCGGGGCCAUACCCUCAGCCACGCCCCCUAGUAUACCCCCUCCUUCAUACGAUGCUGUCAAGGCUGGAGGUUAUUCAGUCUACAAACCCGCCGAGGAUUACAUAACCCCCAAACCAACUGCAAGCCCCGUCCCGCCAGCAGUUGAUCGUAGCCUCAAAGUUGACCGGUCAACCAAGCCUUCAAAUCUGCUAAGCAGCGUCCCAAGCUCCAAGAACCGUUAUGGGAUGAGAGACCUGUUUGUACCCGUGGACACGGUAGAGAGAUUCUUAUCGAUAGCAAACCUCAACACAGCAAAGAACUUGGAAACAUGCGGUAUACUGGCUGGUAAACUGUCCCAUGAUGCAUUUACCAUCACACACAUCGUCGUUCCUAAGCAAACGUCGACGUCAGAUUCCUGCACGGCUGUGAACGAAGGAGAAAUCUUUGAUGUCAUGGACAAGAAAGAUCUCAUCACGUUAGGAUGGAUUCAUACUCAUCCCACACAGACAGCGUUUAUGUCUAGUAUCGAUCUUCACACUCAUUGUCCAUAUCAAGUCAUGAUGGCUGAGGCUAUAGCAAUCGUCUGUGCACCAGCUCAUAAUCAGACGGGUUAUUUCUCCCUGACACCUGACUACGGCGUAAACUUCAUCAGUAACUGCAAGGAGGCGGGGUUCCACCCCCAUCCCUCCCAGCCCACGAUCUAUGAAGAAGGCCAACAUGUCAAGAUAGCUAGCAAUGUUUCUAUUCAGAUGAUUGACAUGCGGUAAUAGUACAGGAUCCUAAGCACAUGGUAAUCCCAACAGUUCUUGUGUUAAUGUGAAAGACGUUUUAUUAACCCUGUUUGCUGCACGUCUUGAUUUUACCAGUGCACCUCCAGUUGCCAUCCAAACCUGGCACCAAAACUAACACUGAGAUAAGCUUUUUUUUUUAGGAGGGCGCUUUUUAGGUCAAUUUGGGAAAAUAUGCACAUAAGACUUUACCCAAAUGAAAUAGCGCCCUCAUAUUGUGUCCAUCAUAGCUCGAAAAUGCUAGUGGCCAACUGAUGAUUGUUUUAGCACUACUGAUACACGUACAUGUAUCAGAAAUUCUUGAGUCUUGAUGCAAACAAUUUCCUUGCUGUGAACUUGGGCCCAAUUGCGGGAUGAAAUUGGACCAAGAGUUUAAUGCUACUUUUUGAUCAAAAAAUGAUUAUUAAAAAAGCAACUCAUUCAAAGUUUAAUCUGAAAAGCUAAUUUCAUAAGAAUUCAGCUGAAUGUUCUCAGACCACAGCUCUGUAGACUGUGUUUAUUAACAAAGAAUCAUUUGCAUGAUGUCACAACUAAUUUUACAAAACACCUUUUGUUUAAAACCAAAUCUAGAGCAGUUGCUGUUGACCUUUGACCUUUGACCUGAUGUAUAUUCUAGUUUGUAAACUAUAUGUAAGCCACAAAAACUAUACAGGAACUUGUUAACUUUUCCACAACUUACUGCAGUACUGUCACCAUAUUUUCCAUCAUAAAUGUACCUGACUUUUGGGUAAAUAGGAAACAGAAUAUUAAACUCUGAUGCUACAUAUCUUAUUUUCAGAAAAUAAAAAUUCCAAUCUCUCUCACCUGUGCAUGCAAGUGGGUGUCUUGUGGAGAAAAACAACCUUUCUCUUUCUUGAAAUCUUUGACUUUCCGGGUCGAGUUUACAACGAUUUACACAUAUCUGUAUGCAAUGAGUGUUAAGUAUUCUUCAGAUGAUGAGAUGUGCAGGCAAACAUCUCCCACCCGUGCAUGCAAGUCGGUGUCUUGAGAAAAACAACCAUUCUAUUUCUUGAAAUCUCUUACAUUACACGUGACAUAAGAUUUAUGAAUAUUUGAUGCAAUGAGUGUUGAGUAUUCUUCAGAUGAUGAGAUGAGUAGGCAAACAUCUCCCAUCCGUGCAUGCAAGUGGGUGUCUUGUUGAGAAAAAUAACCAUUCUCUUUCUUGAAAUCUUUGUUUUUCCACGUGACACAAGAUUAAUAAAUAUUUGAUGCAAUGAGUGUUAAGUAUUCUUCAGAUGAUGUGAUGUGUAGGCAAACAUCUCCCAUCUGUGCAUGCAAGUCGGUGUGUUGUUUACAAAAACAACCAUUCUCUUUCUUGAAGUCUUUGACUUUCCAUGUGACACAAGUUUACAAGGAGUUAUAAAUAUUUGAUGCAAUGAGUGUAAAGUAUUCUUCAGAUGAUGGGAUGCGUAGGCAAACAUCUCCCACCCGUGCAUGCAAGUGGGUGUCUUGUGGAGAAAAACAACCAUUCUCUUUCUUGAAAUCUCUGACUUUACACGUGACACAAGAUUUAUGAAUAUUUGAUGCAAUGAGUGUUGAGUAUUCUUCUUCUGAUGAGAUGUGUAGGCAAACAUCUCCCACCCGUGCAUGCAAGUCGGUGUCUUGUGGAGCAAAACAACCAUUCUCUUUCUUGAAAUCUCUGACUUUACACGUGACACAAGAUUUAUGAAUAUUUGAUGCAAUGAGUGUUAAGUAUUCUUCUUCUGAUGAGAUGUGUAGGCAAACAUCUCCCACCUGUGCAUGCAAGUCGGUGUCUUGAGAAAAACAACCAUUCUCUUUCUUGAAAUCUUUGACUUUCCAGGUCGAGUUUACAAAGAUUAACACACAUCUGUAUGCUAUGAGUGUUCAGUAUUCUUCAGAUGAUGAGAUGUGCAGGCAAACAUCUCCCACCCGUGCAUGCAAGUCGGUGUCUUGAGAAAAACAACCAUUCUAUUUCUUGAAAUCUCUUACAUUACCUGGACACAAGAUUUAUGAAUAUUUGAUGCAAUGAGUGUUAAGUAUUCUUCAGAUGAUAAGAUGCGUAGGCAAACAUCUCCCAUCCGUGCAUGCAAGUCAGUGUCUUGUUGAGAAAAACAACCAUUCUCUUUCUUGAAAUCUCUGACUUUACAUGUGACACAAGAUUUAUGAAUAUUUGAUGCAAUGAGUGUUAAGUAUUCUUCUUCUGAUGAGAUAUGUAGGCAAACAUCUCCAACCUGUGCAUGCAAGUCGGUGUCUUGAGAAAAACAACCAUUCUCUUUCUUGAAAUCUUUGACUUUCCGGGUCGAGUUUACAAAGAUUUACACAUAUCUGUAUGCAAUGAGUGUUAGGUAUUCUUCAGAUGAUGAGAUGUGCAGGCAAACAUCUCCCACCCGUGCAUGCAAGUCGGUGUCUUGAGAAAAACAACCAUUCUAUUUCUUGAAAUCUCUUACAUUACACGUGACACAAGAUUUAUGAAUAUUUGAUGCAAUGAGUGUUGAGUAUUCUUCUUCUGAUGAGAUGAGUAGGCAAACAUCUCCCACCCGUGCAUGCAAGUAGGUGUCUUGUUGAGAAAAACAACCAAUCUUUCUUGAAAUCUUUGACUUUCCACGUGACAUGAGUUUACAAAGAUUUAUGAAUAUUUGAUGCAAUGAGUGUUAAGUUUUCUUCAGAUGAUGAGAUGUGUAGGCAAACAUCUCCCACCCGUGCAUGCAAGUCGGUGUCUUGAGAAAAACAACCAUUCUCUUUCUUGAAAUCUUCAACUUUCCACGUGACACACAUCCACAAUGAUUUCUAAGUCAGUUUUCAGGCUGACAAAAAACCCAACAAAUUUCUUUCUUGACACCUUGCCUUUUGUAUGAGUUGACAUGGAAGUAUCAUACCUGUAUGCAAGUGAUAUGUAUUUAAGGGAUGAUGAAAUGCAUUGGCCAGCAGUGCUCAUCUGGCCAUGCAAGUGGGUAUCAAGAUAUAUCUUUUUCCUUGAUGUCUUUUUCUUCUCAUUGGAAGUUUCCCAGAGUAAGGACUAUCCUUGUUGUGGUUGUAUAACCUCAAGCACUGCAUGGAAGCUGUGAUGCCAUGGCAUACGUCCGCAUGUGUAUACAUGUAUAUGAAGCUGACAAAACAAGAACCUCUUCACCUGCCUUGCUUACUGUGAUUUUUGAGAGAGUUUGCAGUCAGUCUUGGUCUUGUCAAAUGAGGAAUAUACGUUCCCUACUAAGCACUCAACAAACAUCCUACAUAAAGAGCUGGACUCUUAUUUGAUAUAGCAAUAUGUUUUAUAUUCUGUUGAACCUGUCGCUGUGGAUGAAAUGAAGACACUCCAACAAAGUUCACUCCACAAGUUAGAUGAAGAUAAUUCUUGAAUUCUUAUCAGGUCGUGGUUUGUUGAGGUGUGUCCACUGGGCCUUGAAUAGGUAUCUUACAUCAUCGCUGAGGAUGAAGAGGAAGACUCUCCAACCGAGUUGGAUAGUCCAGAAGUGAGACGAAGAUCAUUCUUGAAUCAGCUGCUUGGGAUGAAAUUGAAGGCACUUUAGUCGAGCAGGAAAGUCCUCACAUGGUGUGAUGAUAAUGAUUCUUCUCAAAGAACAUUGGCCAGUAUUGCAUCGUUUGAUGAGCUUUUGAAUCCAUCGAUCAAGUUGAACUGGAUAGUUCUGAAGUUAUCAAUACAUCUACCACUGACAGGUUGUAGAUUUGAAUGGUUCAAUUUAUGUAGAUGCAAUAAUCCCCCAAACUCUGACCACUUCAGAGUGUAAGCCAUGCUCAUUGUACCUGGUGCAGAGUUGAUAGUAUUUAUGCAUGCAUCAAAUGCAGUAAGUUGUAAUCUCAUUCAAACAAAUUGAAAAUGAAUUCCAGCAGGACAUUUUUUCUUUCCUUUUAACACAUUUGUUAAAUAUUGAAAACAAGACACUGGUCUUGAGAGAUCAUUCCAAAAUUUUGAUAACAGACCCCAAAUAAUGAGACAUCCAUGCCAACAAUAAAAUGUGUAUAUUUUUCACAACAUAUUUACCCAUUUUUUGGAGCAUUCUGGGUCAAUGAAAAUUGUGUAAGCAAAAUCUCUGGACAUUGCUUUAAUCACUGUCGUAAUCUCUGCACCGAUUGAAGUCCAAACCUCAAGAUUUUUGUUUUGGAGAACAAGGAAACAUCUGUGUGUUUGUAUUAGGAGGCCCUGUGUGCAUACAUGGUUAAGUUUAAAAAUAAAUUGAUAUACACAUGUACAUGUAGCUGAUAAAUUUCUAUACAAGUGCCAUAAACCCAACCUAGAUGUGAACCACUUAUUUUACUUAAAACUGCUUAAAUGAACUAGGCAGUAUACGACACAGCUGUGUGCAUGAUGAAAUGGAACAUUUCAAUGAAAGUAAAGCUCUGAUUAAAGAGGCACAAAUUUAAAGGCAAUCUUAUUUUUCUUUCUUACACCACCAUAGCUAUGCUUAGUGAGCAAAAAAUAUCCCUCAUCUAAGGUCAUUGGUCAACGCAACUGAGAUACAUUUCACUAGUAAAGUUUAAUUUUAUUUGAAAAAA